UACUUCAACAUGAUCAGGAUGCCUUUAAUCAAAAGGAUUGGUUUAGUCAACCCAUAAGAUUGAUUCAUUACCUUGGAGUUCCAGAGGGAUUUUGUGUAGCAUGUUCUUCAGCUGAGCGACUACUUCGUCGACCAAACACCCGGCUCCUGCUGCAAAGAUGUCCACUGUCCAAGACCCGUGCGUAUCAUUAUUCUCCCUGUCUGUGCCGCGCAAUAGCAGUUUCCUGUAGCCCUGCCUCCAUCAGCUUCUCCCUCUUCCUUGCAAUCGGACAUCGGCAACAGCAAUAUCUGCACUCACUCUACAGUUGGCAAAACCGAAUUUCAGCUCCGAUCAAAGCUUCUACUUCAUGGCUGCGCAUUCUAAAAAUUUAGUGAUUUUGCCCACUAAAGAUAUAACAUAUCUGCUACUAUU